rnacentral:rRNA from 1 species
GUAGCUUGCUACCUGACCUAGCGGCGGACGGGUGAGUAAUGCUUAGGAAUCUGCCUAUUAGUGGGGGACAACAUUCCGAAAGGAAUGCUAAUACCGCAUACGCCCUACGGGGGAAAGCAGGGGAUCUUCGGACCUUGCGCUAAUAGAUGAGCCUAAGUCAGAUUAGCUAGUUGGUGGGGUAAAGGCCUACCAAGGCGACGAUCUGUAGCGGGUCUGAGAGGAUGAUCCGCCACACUGGGACUGAGACACGGCCCAGACUCCUACGGGAGGCAGCAGUGGGGAAUAUUGGACAAUGGGCGAAAGCCUGAUCCAGCCAUGCCGCGUGUGUGAAGAAGGCCUUUUGGUUGUAAAGCACUUUAAGCGAGGAGGAGGCUA